rnacentral:rRNA from 1 species
UGGGGAAUAUUGGACAAUGGGCGCAAGCCUGAUCCAGCCAUACCGCGUGAGUGAAGAAGGCCUUCGGGUUGUAAAGCUCUUUCAGACGGAAAGAAACGGUUGCGGCUAAUACCCGUGACUAAUGACGGUACCGUAAGAAGAAGCACCGGCUAACUACGUGCCAGCAGCCGCGGUAAUACGUAGGGACCAAGCGUUGUUCGGAUUUACUGGGCGUAAAGGGCGCGUAGGCGGCAAUUCAAGUCAUCUGUGAAAUCUCCGGGCUUAACUCGGAACGGUCAGAUGAUACUGCUUUGCUAGAGUGCAGAAGGGGCAAUCGGAAUUCUUGGUGUAGCGGUGAAAUGCGUAGAUAUCAAGAGGAACACCUGAGGUGAAGACGGGUUGCUGGGCUGACACUGACGCUGAGGCGCGAAAGCCAGGGGAGCAAACGGGAUUAGAUACCCUUGUAGUCCCUGAGCGGGCUGGCAAGGCGC